CCAAUCAGACGUGAGGAUAGUGUCAAGCGAAGGGUUUGGGUUGAGUCAAACUCUCGGCGUGAGCGCAUGUGCAAAUGGCUUCCCAGCAGAUGCCAGUUAAAGUGUCAACUGUCAAACAAGGAAAGGUGUUGCUUAUGAGUCUCUCAGUGCUGUGCCUAUCUUAUCGAGGAGAAAACAGAGGAUGCUCACCCUAGGGUUUCCAAGUGAAAAACUAUAGACAUCUCCAGAACAUCUUGCAAUGCAUUUCUGCUAUAAGUCAGAAAAAGUUGCUGAAAUACAAAACAUCUAUUACACAACUCAACUCCACAGUACUAUAUCUGACAUCACCUCUGCAUCUGUGACAAGCCAGAGUGCCCAUGAUUCAAGUGCAGGUCUCUGAGUGUGGAACAUAUUAUACCACAAGAAUAUUUUACUUUUACAAGACAAGAAAAGGACAGGAUUCUCGAGUCUUCUUUAUUCCUGGACAGAUUACUUGAAGGUGCUGAGAAUAUGGUUCGGAGGGGCCAGAGCGUGUGCAAAAUCUUGGGAGGAGCGCAUUGCCAAGGUGAGGCAGGAACUGGUCUUCUGGGAGCACCACUCCCUCUCCAUUGAGGGUAAAAUCCUGGUCAUCAGACGUGAGGCACUCUGUCUGUUGUAUGUGGUGCAGGUUUGGCUCCUUCCCAGAAGAUGAGCCAUUGCACUCACCUGAGCCACCUUUCACAUCAUCUGAAGAUAUAAGAUGGACCAUGUCCAUAGAGACACCAUGUACAAAGCUCUGGAUUGGGGGUAAGAACAUACCCAACGCCGCCCUCACCCUGAUGGCCACCUUUGUAUGUGGCUGCAUCAAGCUGUGUGUAGACCCUCAAUACGCAAACAAAGUGUCACUUCCUACUGAGGUUCUACCUGUCUCUGGUGUUGCAAAGAGUCGGUCUGGCCUCAUUGCCACGGAACACUCCAAGUAGCUGGACUAUUCUGUAUUACCUGUUCUUUGUGGAGAAAUUUGCAAAGAAAAGCACCAAUGACCACACGUCCAUCAGGAAGUGAUCAGUACAUAGCUUCCUCAAGACCCUGCAGGAACAGGAGAGGGCGGAUCCUGUUGAGUUGUUUUCUGAGUAGACUGUCAAAGUCAUUUGGCAGAAUGCCUCAUCACCAGAACUUCUAACGAGCACCAAGACAUCGUUUAGCUGCUAGUGAAAAGGGCUGUACCUAUGAGAUCCUUCUUUAUGCCUGGACUGUCUGCACCACUGCACAUUGCCCUUGAAGUAGCUGCGGGGGACUGUAGAGACUGACACAUCUGCUGGAAUGUGCCUUUGCAAAGGAAGUCUGAAGAAAGAUGCAGUGGUUUUUGUCAGUGUUCAUCCAGAGCAGCUGUGUGACGCAGGACUCUGUGCUCUUCAGUCUAUUCUCUGUGAUGCAUACCAAGACAAACAUCGAUUGUACCUGGAGGAUCAUCAACUUGGUGAAAGGUGCCCUUUGGUCUGCCCAAUCAUGUUGGACUUCCAGAGCAAGGUGUUGACUUUGACUGAAUGUUGCAGACUAGCACAUUCCAAGGUCCAGGACUAGGUGAUAAGGGACACAAUAAAGCUUGGAGCAGCUGCCGCCAAAGCACAGUGGAGAAAGACCGCUGUUUCAGGUCUUUCUGCUGAAGUUAAAUGGGGGUCCGUUCAGUUUUUGGACCCUCCCAA